CGGGACGUAGCGCAGCCUGGCAGCGCAUCUGCUUUGGGAGCAGAGGGUCGCGAGUUCAAAUCUCGCCGUCCCGACCA
rnacentral:tRNA from 1 species